GCCUAACGGCUGAACUGGCAACUUGGAGAAGUGGCAAGUCUUAUUUUGAUUAUAUCAUAGAAUAUAAUCUAUAAGAUUGUAUUAAAAUUGAAUAAAGCUUUGUUUAUAUAUUGAUAAUGACAGUAUAUAUAUCGUGUCUUGACUAAUUACGUGCCAGCAGUCGCGGUAAUACGUAAGAGACUAGUGUUAUUCAUCUUAAUUAGGUUUAAAGGGUACCUAGACGGUCAAUAUAGCUUCUAGAAUGUUAGUACUUGACUAGAGUUUUAUGUAAGAGGGCAGUACUUGAGGAGGAGAGAUGAAAUUCUAUGAUACCAAAGGGACUCGGUAAAGGCGAAGGCAGCCCUCUAUGUAAAAACUGACGUUGAAGGACGAAGGCACAGAGCACAAACAGGAUUAGAUACCCAAGUAGUCUUUGCAGUAAAUGAUGAAUGCCAUAGGUCAGAUUAAGAUUUAAUAACUUAGUUUGUCAGUAAAGAAGAACUAAUUAUUAAACAAUAUUUGGUCUAUAAAUGAAAGUGUAAGCAUUUCACCUCAAGAGUAAUGUGGCAACGCAGGAACUGAAAUCACUAGACCGUUUCUGAAACCAGUAGUGAAGUAU
rnacentral:rRNA from 1 species